AGUGAUAAAAUAGAUACGAGUAAGCAAAAUAAAUUGAUACACAUAAUUGUAAUGAAGUUUGGUCUUUCAAACUACAUCCAUGGAAUUACAUAAUUGCAAACGUAUAAACCAAAUCCAUUUGCUCUGACCUACCACUAAGCUAAAUUACAUCUAAAUUUAGAGUUUAGUCAUGAUUUGAAAAGGAAGAGUUACAAAUUAUGUCCAACUUGACGUUAUUUGUAUUUUAUUUUCUUGUAUCUCUUCUACCAUCUACUAAAAGGAGAUAUCUUGCUCUUCAAGUUAGGAAUUAUCCAACAUCACUUGUCGAUGGACUUUCUACUGAAGCUACAAGGACAUGACAUGCUCGGUUAUAUCAUAUUGGAGUUGAUUCACAGAGAAGAUGUUGGAGAAGUACAUGAAGAAGAUGAUGGCAUGGAGGAUAUCACUAAAAAAUACCAUAAUGAGGUUGGUGAAGUAGUUCAAGGAGUACCACAACUGAGAAGGUCGGGUCGACAAAUAAGUCAGUCGCGGUACCUUGAAGACUAUGUUAUGCAGUCCGAAACAACUUAUGGAUUGUUCCACCAAGCUUAUGUUAAAAGUAAGAGACGUCAACUUUCAACAAGUAAUGAGCCAAGAGGCUAAAGAUGUGCUUUAAUGGAGGAAAGAUGUGAAGAGGAGUUUGAAUCAGUCAACAAGAACAAGAUGGUUCCUUGUUGACAUAUUCAUUCAAGUUUUGAUCGGUUCAAAAGCUUUUCAAGAGUUUUAGAGAAGCAAGUCGGCUUGUCUAUUAAAACCUUUUGUACCGAUAAAGGAGGAGACUUUACUUCAAGGGAGUUCAAUCGAUGUUGCAUAGAGGAGGAGUCUCCAGGUAUCUAAUGAAGAUUCUAAAUGAUAUGUGGAGAGAAGUCGUACGUCAUUGAAAGAUCAUGGGACUACAUCUAAAGAAACUAGAUGAAGAGUCAAGAAGUAUAAUCACGAGGCUGCAUCUCAAGAAGGUAGAUGAUUGGUCAAUCUUGGAACUAAGUCAGAUUUUAGAGAUGUUUAAACCAAGUUGGGUUUUAUUAGAGAAUAUCAAAACAAGCAAGGUCAUGGUAUUUGGGUGUUUUGUACUAGUCAUUGAAGUACAAGUAAUAUUUAGCUAAGAAAGCUGAAAUGAGUAUGAUACAUUGCAACACACCGAAAUUUAAUUAGCCCACGAUAUAUCAUAAACAAAAAUUUUUCCACACAAUUUUAACUAAAUCAACAUGUUUCGACAUGUCAAAAUAUCAUAAUAAGGUUUUAAUCCUUGUUGUAGUACCAAAAUAAUAA
rnacentral:sRNA from 1 species